AUGAGAACUCAGACAAUGAGGCUCAGGUGCGACCUCCCGGCACACAACUCUGUGCGGUACACAAGUCGAAACCAAGUCAAGAUGAAAACUCCGACAACGAAGCUCAUGUUUGACCUCCCGGCACACAACUCCGUGCCGGACAAGUACAUCAUGCCGGCGGAGAAACGCCCUCGCCGCCACGAGCUAGUGGAUGACGGCCUCUCAGUUGCUCUCCCCGUCGUCGAUCUUAAGAAAGGCCGUCCACAAGUCGCCCGCGAUAUCUUGGAGGCCGGCAAGGAGUUUGGCUUCUUCCAGGUGGUGAACCACGGUGUAGGGGAAGACGUGGUCCAGGGCUUCAGGGAAGUGGCAGCGGAGUUCUUGAGGUUGCCGGAGGAGGCCAAGCUGGAGUACUACUCCGAGGACCAGAGCAAGGCUUUCCGGGUAAUCUCCGGCUGUAUCACUUCCCACAAGCUGAUGAACGAAUGGCCAACACAGCCAGAAAUAUUUAGUAGAUUAACCAACGGGCUUCUUGCAAGCGUGGAGCACCGGGUGGUAACCAACUCUGCUAAGGCGAGGAUGUCGGUGGCAUCGCUUGUCAGGCCCAGGGUGGACUGCAGGAUCGGUCCAGCAUCGGUGAUGGUGGACGAGGAGACAAACCCUCCCAAGUACAGGGACUUCACAUACAGCGAGUUCACGGAAGCGUACGAGGCCACUCUUGGCAACAGGGAGGCCAUGCUUGACUUCUUCAAGAUCCAGGCCAUCACAUCCAAUGGAGCUAAGAAUGAUUGA
rnacentral:rRNA from 1 species